GCCCCCAUGGCUCAGGGGAUAGAGCGUCUGCCUCCGGAGCAGAAGGCCGCAGGUUCGAAUCCUGCUGGGGGCACCA
rnacentral:tRNA from 1 species